rnacentral:rRNA from 1 species
GAUGAACGCUAGCGGCAGGCUUAAUACAUGCAAGUCGAGGGGCAGCAGGACUGUAGCAAUACAGUUGCUGGCGACCGGCAAACGGGUGCGGAACACGUACGCAAUCUACCCGAAACUGGGGCAUAGCCCGGGGAAACCCGGAUUAAUACCCCGUAACACUUUGAAGUGGCAUCACUUUAUAGUUAUAGCUCCGGCGGUUUUGGAUGAGCGUGCGGCUGAUUAGGUAGUUGGCGGGGUAAUGGCCCACCAAGCCUACGGUCAGUAACUGGUGGUAGAGCACGACCAGUAACACGGGCACUGAGACACGGGCCCGACUCCUACGGGAGGCAGCAGUAAGGAAUAUUGGUCAAUGGACGCAAGUCUGAACCCGCCAUGCCGCGUGGAGGAUGAAGGCCCUCUGGGUUGUAAACUUCUUUUAUAGGGGACGAAACCUCUUUUUCUUGAGAGACUGACGGUACCCUAGGAAUAAGCACCGGCUAACUCCGUGCCAGCAGCCGCCGUAAGAC